UACGAAGGGGGCUAGCGUUGCUCGGAAUCACUGGGCGUAAAGCGCAACGUAGGCGGCUUUUUAAGUCAGGGGUGAAAUCCUGGAGCUCAACUCCAGAACUGCCUUUGAUACUGAGAGCUUGAGUCCGGGAGAGGUGAGUGGAACUGCGAAGUGUAGAGGUGAAAUUCGUAGAUAUUCGCAAGAACACCAGUGGCGAAGGCGGCUCACUGGCCCGGAACUGACGCUGAGGUGCGAAAGCGUGGGGAGCAAACAGGG
rnacentral:rRNA from 1 species